GGCUUCAUAGUUUUAAAAGAAAACAUUAAUUUUGUAAAUUAAAGAAAACAAAAGCCU
rnacentral:tRNA from 1 species